rnacentral:rRNA from 1 species
CACACACCGCCCGUCAAGCCAUGGGAGUUGGUUUUACCCGAAGACGGUGCGCUAACCAGCAAUGGAGGCAGCCGGCCACGGUAGGGUCAGCGACUGGGGUG